UUCUGGGGCUUCCUGUUCAGUCCCCUGACCUCCAGGGAGCUGGCGCUGUGUCCACCCCUCCGGAGCUCACUGCAAAGCAAACAAGCUGGGCAAAUGAGUGGCCACGGCCACAGCCACAGUGCAGAGCUGAGGCCCACAUUUUGAACGAUGCAGGGCACAGAACUGCUACAGAGAGGAGAGCAAAGUUUGACUUCACUCCCAAGUGCUGGUGCCAGCUCUCCGGCUUGGAAGAAGGAAAAAGACCUUCAGGAAACGGCCGCCUCAGGCUCCCCUUCUCAUCAUGUAAAUCAGUCUGCAACCGGCUACUGUGCUCUUCAGGUGCUUCUGGAAGACGCCUAGAAGGGUAGUAGUUGCGUUGCAUGGGAAAGAAGAGGGAAUUUAAGUGAAGACACUCCGCCUGCAGUAAGGCUGAGAGGUGAGGCAAGGAAGGAGCGCGCUGCAUGCACACUUGGCCUCCUCCCUCACUGAUUCAGUCCCACCCACAGAGGACUCCAUCCCACCCUCCGCCUGCCUGCUCCUCAGAGCCCAGCAAGGAGUUGCUGCCUCGGGCUGCAUCCUGAUGUCUCCUUCCUCUACCAAACCGCUUCAGGCUCGAGAUGGUGUACAAAGCUCACAAGUUCUCCAGAGAGCCAGGUUAUCAGGCAUCUGGCUGAUGAGAAAGAGAUGACUCACUGCUGAUGUCCUGAGCCUCACUGGCCUGUUUGCUUGUGACAAGUGGUUCGGUCAUGUUCUGUACCUCUACCACAGCUCCUAGCACCUGACGCUGAGGUGGCCACCUCUGCCCCAGCCUCACUCUCUGCAGGGCAAACCUGUUUCGAGCAGGAACCAAAUCCCACAUUUAUAGUGUUAUUUCCAGGGCUUCGUGUAGACGGAACAGGAACUCAGGAAAUGCACAAAUUCCCGCUGGAGCCAAACAGCAGUGAACAGACUGCUGUGGGCUUACAGAGACCAGGGCUGGGAGGAAAAGAGUAGAAGUGGGGCCUUAGAAAAUAGGAAUGAGAAUUUCCAAAUUAACUGCGACCAGAAUCAGGACUCCCAGUAACACUGUUAUCCCAAUGGGCAACUUUCAAGGUGUUUCUUCAGGAAAAAUUUUUAUUUUUUUUGUGUAUGCUUCAAUUGGAGUCUCAUAAAUAUGCUUUUUCUCUACAUCUAGAUAUUGCAAAAACCCGCUGAGCCCAAAUCUAAUUUUCAUGCAGCAAUAAAUUAUUAGGAUUUCUUAUACAGUGUCUCCAUUAACAGUAAUUCUAUUUUUUUCUAUUAAAGAAAAAUAUUUAUUUUUUUUAGAAGUCAAGGUGAUUUUCAAGCAAAGAAAAAUGAAUAAAUGAUCAGUUACAGAAACAACAUAGGAAGUUUUCUAUCUCCUGCAAUUUAUAAGUUGCUGGUUUACCAUUGGUUCCAUAAUAACAACGAAAUGCAAGCUGGGGACAUUGCUUAGAGGUAAAGCUCAUACCUAUCAUAAGCAAAGGGCCUGGGUUCAGUUCCCAGAAACCUCUGCCCUUUUCCUCUGCAAGGAAAAACAUUGCAAGAAAUAGUUCCUAAGCGCUUUGGCACCUUUGUACUAUGAAUCAUAUUUAUAGUACAAAGGUGCCAAAAUGUUAUUAAAUUUUUUUAAGGAAUAAGAUUGCAAAGUCAAGGGGCUGGGAUAUAGCUCAGUGGCACAGCAUCUGCCUGGCAAGAGUGAGGUCAUGAGUUUGAUUCCUGGUGCCAUAUAAAAUUUAAAAAAUAAAUAAAGUGAGGAAAAAUUGCAAAGUCACAACUUUUUGGCUUAUUUGUAUUUGUAGGCCGGUAAACAAGAAAAACAACUAAACACACUUCCUCUAUUUCCCAUUACUCAUUUCCAGUGUUAAGGCAGCCUAUGCAAAAUCCAGAUUUUUGCUAUGAGAUACACAUUUUUUAUUUCUCAAGGAUUUGCUAUAACUUUCUAGCAAGAAGCUAGCAGUGGACGUUGUAUUCUUGCAAAGGACUUUAUGAACUCAAAGGCCAAAGUCUACCUGAGGGGGAGACUGAGCCCACUAACUGGGCAGCAGGUGUAAAGGAGGACACAUCCGGUGUGAGUCAUAAACGAUGCCACAGUGGUAGCCGGAGGAAUUCAGUACACUGGACACGAGGGAGGGAUGCAGGGUGCACGCUAACUUACAAAGGAAGCCAAGAGAAGCCCUGGGGAAGGUGGAUGUAAGGCUCUUAACAACAGGACCUGGUAGCCACUCUGACACGGUUUGCACUGCUUUCUCUAAGUCCCUUCCGCGCCCACCUGCAAGCCAAGGGAUUCUCCAGAAUAGCAUUGUGUACUAGCAUGCACAGGAGCUGCCUGUACAGUUUUAAUCUUCCUGAUAGGUAUGUUUUUAAAAAGAGCAAAAAGAAGCAGUGAUAACAAUUUUAGUUGUACACUUAGCCCUGCAUAUCCAGGGGUUUCAUAGCUGAGGGUUCAACCCACCACUGAUAGGAAAUAUUAGAAAAAAGUACUGUGUCUGCACUGAAUAUUUAGAGACUUUUCUGCUGUUAUUCCCUGAAUACAGUACAGCAACUACUUAUAAUGUAUUAGGUAUUUUAAAUUUUGAAUACAGGAGGUGGUGUGGAGAUUUUAUGUACAAACUCUAUAGAAGGGACUUCUGCACCAAUGGAUUUGGGCAUCCUAGAACCCAUGGAUACCAAGGAUGGCUGUACUAUUUUAUUUAAUCCCAUACAUCAACAUUACCAGUGGUGCAUUUUGCAUGUUUUCCAUAUGAAGUGCUCACAACCCCAUGUGUACCCAUCCUACCCUUUCAGCCCAUGCCAGUGUAGCAGCAGUAUCCCCAGCAGGGUCAGUGCUUCCUAUUUUAGGGGGCUCAGGCAACACACUCUGCUCUUCACUGGGUGAGGGACCCAAGAUGCGACCCCAAACCACUUAAUGCCUUCAGAUGCUGACAGCUUGCUUCAUUUAACUCAUUUAAAUGAGAAUCCUAAGCCAGGGAAUUUACUGCCAGGUCCCUAUACCCAUGCC